GGCGCAGGGGGCGGUGUCCGCGGCGCCGGAGGAGGAAGUGGUGAGGUUGUUGCUGCUUCUGCUGGCUGGGCUGGCUCCCGGCUCCCGGGACACGGAGGGGACCCGCCGUCUCCGUCGCUGCUUUGCGCUCCCCUGCUGUUCUCCAUGUUCUUGGGCGACGUUGCUCCCCUUCCUCAGGCCACCUCUUAUUCCGGGGUCUAUGGAAGUAAUGGAAGGACCCCUCAACUUGGCUCAUCAACAGAGCAGACGAGCAGAUCGUUUAUUAGCUGCAGGGAAAUACGAGGAGGCUAUUUCUUGUCACAAAAAGGCUACAGCAUAUCUUUCCGAAGCCAUGAAGCUGACACAGUCUGAGCAGGCUCAUUUAUCACUGGAACUGCAAAGGGACAGCCACAUGAAGCAGCUCCUGCUCAUUCAGGAGCGGUGGAAGAGGGCCAAGCGGGAGGAAAGGCUGAAAGCCCAGCAGAGCACGGACAGGGACGCUGCUGCCCAGCCUCAGGCAUCUCACAGACCCAUCACUGAGGACGCCGAGGGCCAGAGUCUCCUCCCGCACAAGUACAGCCCUUCCACGGAGAAGCGUCCGCCCGAGGUCCAGGGGGUCUUUGACAGGGAUCCAGACACACUGCUAUUUUUACUUCAGCAAAAGAGUGAGCCGACAGAACUGUGCAUUGGCAGCAAAGCCCCUAAAGAUGAUAAAACAGUAAUAGAGGAGCAGGCAACCAAAAUUGCAGAUUUGAAGAGGCAUGUGGAAUUCCUUGUGGCUGAGAAUGAAAGAUUAAGGAAAGAAAAUAAGCAACUAAAGGCUGAAAAGGCCAGACUCCUAAAAGGCCCAGUGGACAAGGAGCUAGAUGUGGACGCUGAUUUUGUAGAGAAGUCAGAGUUGUGGAGCUUGCCGCCACAUGCAGAAACUGCUACAGCCUCUUCGACCUGGCAGAAGUUUGCAGCAAAUACCGGGAAAGCCAAGGAUAUUCCAAUACCCAAUCUUCCUCCCUUGGAUUUUCCGUCUCCAGAACUUCCCCUGAUGGAAUUCUCGGAGGAUAUUCUGAAAGGAUUUAUGAAUAAUUAAAAUGGAAGGCCAUCGAAGAAGUGAGAAGAGGAAAUAAUACUGUUAAUCCCGAAGGAAAAAAAGGGAAAACCACACGCAAGGGUGAUCCCAGAGAGGCUUCGUCCCCUGGCAGGCGCACCGUGCAGAAGAGCUGUCGCCAGGGCUGGAAACAGUCACUGUGAAACGUGUCGCGUACCCGACGUGCUGACUCGAGCUAAGGAUUCCAGACUCGGCAGACACCGACCCCCUGGAGGUUCACUUUCUCCUGAUACAAACCAAAUGGCUACCUGGAAUAAUUUCUUCAAGCGACAGUUUUUCUUAUCUUCAGGGUUAAAAUGUAUAAAAGUAUGUUAUGUGUAAUUAAUCUAUAAUGCCAUAAAUGAUAAUGCAAAACCUAAAUAAUACGGUGACCUGCGGGGCUGCCUUAUAUUUGAAACAUGCUUUCUAUCAUGCAUUGACUGUAUGCAUUUCGUUAUGCACAUUUCAUUUGUUUAAUAAGGCGUGUAAGACACACCUUUCUAGAUGAAACUCUGUGUGCCACACUUUGCACUACUCAUAACAUAAUGAUAACCUCAAGACUAUCAGGAGAAAUAUUUAAAUUUCCAUUUUAUGAAGAACCAAAUUAUUAGUUAUGCUUUUUAAAAGAAAAUUACCAGUUUACAUAAUUAAUCAGGGUGCAUUUUAAGUUCUAACUUUUUGUUUGUUGUAUAAUGCAUCAUUUGAAAAUACUGAGGAAAUGUCCUUUUGUUUUUAAUGAUGCAUGAGUGGAAGUAAUGCUAGUUGGCAGUAUUUGAUUGUAAGAAAUCAAUAAAGUCGUUGUGUUUUAUACCUUCGUUGAACGUGGAUGCUACUUAAAACGCAAGUUUUGUAUGGUUUCUGUGUUGUAAAGUUUUAAUAAGAAUUUGAAGAAAUUCUGUCGAUGUAAUCACUUUGGUAUGUUAUAGAUUUCCUUCAGUAUUUUAUAGCCCAUUUCCCCCCCCCAACUAGGGUGAACAGAGAAGUUCCUGGGGUCUGGGUGAGUCCCGCGCCUCCUCCCCGCCCCACGGGAAGCGGCAGCCCAGGGGUUCCAGGGUGGGAAGGCGAGGAGGGUAAGAGGGUGAAGCACAUUUGGGUAUAAGCCACUGGGUGUGUUGAAAGGGUAGAUUGGGUUUACUGUGUGGAACUGUGGGAGUGAGGAAAAUACGCAGGAACGGCGAACUGCCUCCCCUGAGGACAUCGGGGCAGUGGGGACGGGCUCGCGUGUUUCGUGAUGAAACUGGCAGAAGUAGGAUGAGAUGAAGUGACCGUGCGGAUGUCACGUUUGUGCUUGUCAUCUUGCUACAGAUGACACCAAAAAUAAACCGGCUUCUUAGAAUAUCUCAAAAGGAGUUCUGUUAAAAGUUACAUUAAUUUACCUAUCGUCGAAUAUUUUGCUUGCCUAAACUUCCUUAUAAAACUUCAGAUUUAACAGUUUGUGCCAAAAAUUACUAGCCAUUUUAUUUAAAAAAUAUUUUAUAUAUUUAUUUGUAGAGAGAGGAAGAGAAAUGUUGAUUGGUUGCCUCUUGCACAACCUCAGCCGGAGACCCGGCCCGCAAGCCAGGCUCGUGCUCUCACCUGGAAUCAAACCGGAACCAGGAGCAGAGAGGAAACAGAGAGAGAUAAACAUCAACUGGUUGCUUCCUGCAUGUGCCCCGACUGGGUACUGAACCCACAACCCAAGUACAUGCCCUGACCAGGAAUCAAACCUGCAACCUUCCAGUUUGCAGGAGGAGGCCCAACCAACCCAGCCACACCCACAAGAGCUAACAGAUGAUUUUUAAAGUCUGUAAUUCUAGUUUUAGAAUUGAAAGAGGGCUGCAGCUAUGCCACUUUACCUCAGCUGGCUGUGAUAUUCAUCUGAACACCCCAGCAGAGCUUCCUGUUUUCUGUUUGGAGUCUCAGAAUGCUCCGUAAUGACAAAUGAAAGAACAAAACAUAGUGUGCGUUCCCUUAGCGCUGCUGGCCCCUGCCGUGAAGUUUCCUUAUGAUGAAACAGGUUUUUUGUAAGUAUCUUGGGUUUUCAAAAGCAUCCUAUUUGUGUGAUUUUCAAAGUGUGGUCCCCAAAUGGUGGUAGUAUCAGUGUCAUCUGGGACCUUUAUAUAUAAAAAUGUAAUAUUUUGGGUUCCUCUUCAGACCCAUGGAGUCACAUGUUCUGGGGUUGGGGCCUGGCAAUCUGUGUUUUAUUUUAAUCAAGUGCUCCAGGAAAUUCUAGUGUUUGCUAACCUAUGAGGAGUACUCUGAAGUAAGAGAAGUACUGACUUCAGAGUUUGGGAUUAUUUUAAGGGCCACAGGCAGUUAUUGCAAGUGCUGAAGCCACCAAGAAAAAACUUUCAGGACCUCUAAGGACUGAAUAAACUGUAAAUAAUAAAGCAUCUCAAAUCCAACUCCAUAUUGUGAACAGUUAUUCCUUUCAAUUCUCGCUCCAACCAC